AAUUGAUCGAAGCAAUCGUUCAGAUUUUUACUUUUUAUUGCUGUCAGUUCAGCUCUACUUUUAUGCUCAAUUUUGUUCGUGUUGAUAGCGAUCAUUUCAGUUGGGAUUAUGUUUGAUUUAAAUUUGAUUAUUCAGCCUCAGGCCUCUUCGCAACAAUGGGAGCCCCUAAUAAUGUAACACAGUUAGGGGGAGGGGGUAGGGGUCGAAGACUUUGUUAGGCUUUGGAAAUCGGAUGUGGCCACUGGGAAACAUGGGAACCGGUUCAGGAGACGAAAUUAUACACUGAAGACACUCUGCAUUCAAAUUUAAGAAGUUUUAUGCGUCGCAUGACCAGUUUACGCUGUUUCCUAAAUACGGUUCUUGAUGUGGCCACCGAAGAUCUUGGAAGCUGUUUUAAUGUUCCAUUCUUGGGGCAUUUUAAAUUAUUAUUGGUUAAACAAAUUGAAUUAGUUUUCGUAUGAAUGAAAAAAUAAAAAAAAGUCAACAAAA